UUUCUACGGAAUUCGUGGCAGUCGUCUCAUUCCUCUCGGCGCAGCGAGACAAGCUGGUCACAAAUAGAGCUCAGACGGAACGGAUUCGGUAUUGGAAUUUCAGUCUCUACCGGCGGCGCGUGCUACGCAACUUGAAUACAAGCUACCAUUUCCAUUCAUAAGAAUACCACAUCCACUUUGACUUUGAAAUAAUGUGAUUGUCGCUGCAAGCGGAGAACACCGCCUUUGACUUUCGUAGGAUUGGAUCAGUGAUUCCGUUGAGAACUGAUUGAUGCAUCAUCAGGAUUCGAAGCACGAAAACCCACAAUUAUUGUUGACUUAUCGAAUCUGGUUCCUCGGUUUACGUCAAUCUCACAGGAAUAAAGGGACAUAUUGAUUAGUCCUGUGAAUCACUAAUGAUGUUUCGCGUGACAUUUGUCGUCUGCCUGCUAAUCUCGUCGAUUCUCGUCUCGUGCGAGACGCAGGAAAUGGAUGAGGAAGCGUGCAUGACGGUUAAUCUGCGCGCUAGGAGCGAUUGUAGAUACGACCAGGACGUGUGUGACAGUUACUGCGGUCCGUGGAAGGAGGACCCGAAGGCGUGUCGCGAUGACUGUUAUAUUAAAUACCUAGUUUGUAUCGGAUGCCGAAGCGAGAAGUAGGGCUAUAUAUAGACAUUCCGGAGCUUUACUCAUGUCUCAGUCACCAGUUUUUCCAUAGAGUGACCAGCACAGACGCUGUUUAGUAGAAGAGUAGAACCUCUCUAUAAGGGAUAACCUUGGCACGGACGUGCCUGUGUCUUGAUGAAAUGGAUUUGACCAAUUCUUGGCUGAAAUCGGUGUCCUUCUUAGUGAUGGUGUCCUGCUUAUUGAGAUGUCCGCUAAGGGAGGUUCCAUUGCAAAACUCAUAUUUGGAGGACAGAACGGACGACUAUAAGUCCGUGUUCAUAGAUAUGUAGUUUAUAUUGAAUGUAAGAGGAGAAAAUGAGCUUUGUAUCUGGAAAUAGAGGUAUUUGUAUCAUCAUGUAUUCUUA